rnacentral:rRNA from 1 species
AGAGUUUGAUCCUGGCUCAGAAUGAACGCUGGCGGCGUGCUUAACACAUGCAAGUCGAACGAGAAAUCCUCUGCUUGCAGAGGAGAGUAAAGUGGCGCACGGGUGAGUAACGCGUGGGUAAUUUACCCUUGGAUUUGGGAUAACAUUUCGAAAGGGGUGCUAAUACCAGAUAAUAUCCUGAUGAUUUUGGUUAUUAGGAUCAAAGAUAGCCUCUACAUGUAAGCUAUUGUGCAAGGAUGAGCCCGCGUACCAUUAGCUAGUUGGCAGGGUAAAGGCCUACCAAGGCGAUGAUGGUUAGCUGGUCUGAGAGGAUGAUCAGCCACACUGGAACUGAAACACGGUCCAGACUCCUACGGGAGGCAGCAGUGAGGAAUUUUGCGCAAUGGGGGAAACCCUGACGCAGCAACGCCGCGUGAGUGAAGAAGGCUUUCGGGUCGUAAAGCUCUGUCAAGAGGGAAGAAGGUAGAUGGUGGUAAUACUGCUGUUUAUUGACGGUACCUCUGAAGGAAGCACCGGCUAACUCCGUGCCAGCAGCCGC